rnacentral:rRNA from 1 species
AUGGCAGAGAUGACAAGCCAGUUUUAUGAAAACCUGUACCGAUCGGAAGGUUGCAUAGGGAUGGAAGAGGUGUUGUCUCAUAUCCCGGUCAGGAUUGCCUCAAAGCGAGAACCAACAACACAUGCAGGCGCAGCAAAACCAAGAGCCCGGAGAUGGAUUCCACCCGGCGAAGAUGCGGUAAAGAUCAAUGUGGAUGGAGCCGUUUCCCGUUCAGGAAGGACGGGGGCAAGUGCGGCAAUUUGCAGGAAUAAAAAUGGCUGCUAUAUUGGCUCAUCAGCGGUGGUAUUUGAAGGCAUAGUGGAUGCACCAAGUUUGGAAGUUCAAGCAUGCAAUGAGGCCCUCGCUCUUGCUCAAGAUCUCCUACAACCACAUGUGAUAAUAGCUUAG